rnacentral:rRNA from 1 species
UACAGAGGGGGCAAGCGUUGUCCGGAAUUAUUGGGCGUAAGGCGCGCGCAGGCGGUUCUUUAAGUCUGAUGUGAAAGCCCACGGCUCAACCGUGGAGGGUCAUUGGAAACUGGAGGACUUGAGUACAGAAGAGGAAAGUGGAAUUCCACGUGUAGCGGUGAAAUGCGUAGAGAUGUGGAGGAACACCAGUGGCGAAGGCGGCGUUCUGGACUGCAACUGACACUGAUGAACGAAAGCCAGGGGAGCAAACGGG